rnacentral:rRNA from 1 species
AACGAACGCUGGCGGCAUGCCUAACACAUGCAAGUCGAACGAGAGCUUCGGGUCUAGUGGCGCACGGGUGCGUAACGCGGGGGAACCUGCCCUUAGGUUCGGAAUAACUCCCCGAAGGGGGUGCUAAUACCGGAUAAUGUCUUCGGACCAAAGAUUUAUCUCCUUUGGUUGGGCCCGCGUUGGAUUAGCUAGUUGGUAGGGUAAAAGCCUACCAAGGCGACGAUCCAUAGCUGGUCUGAGAGGAUGGUCCGCCACACUGGGACUGAGACACGGCCCAGACUCCUACGGGAGGCAGCAGUGGGUAAUACUGGACUAUGGGCGAUGGCCUGAUCCAGCAAUGCCGCGUGAGUGAUGAUGGCCUUAGGGUUGUAAAUCUCCUUUACCCGGUAUGAUAAUGACAGUACCGGGAGAAUAAGCUCCGGCUAACUCCGUG